UGGGGGGGCAGACGGAGGGGGGGGUGUCCCCCCCUGGGGCUGCACACACCCACACACAGAUUUGCACACCCGCCUUGCACAUGUGUGCCCCCCACGCACACCCAUGGAUGUGCCCCCCCCAACCCCCCCCGAGCUCACCCCAUGCCUCACGGCGCUCGCAUGCUCGUCCCCCGUGCUUGCACACUUGCCCCCCCUGCUUGCACACUCGCCUGUCCCCCCCGGCACUGUCACGCCCGCGCACCCCGGCUGUGUCUCACAGGCACCGCUGGCACAUUCACUCACGCCCACACGCCCGGCACGCACACACGCACGCACACGCAUGCACACACACGCUUGCACACGCCGCCACACAACACGCUCACCUGCAUGCCCGCAGCUCACACACCCACACACGUCCGCAGCCGGCACCGCUCAGCCACACGCACUCGUGCACCGUCGCACUCUCACGUGCUGUUGCACACUCAUGUGCUGUCACACAUUCACAUGCCAUCACACACGUGUGCACCAUUGCACACUCACACACUGCCACACUCGCACACCAUCGCAGUUACUCACCAUCACACGCUCAUGCACCAUCGCACACUCUCACACUGUCGCACACCUACAGCGUCACUCACAUUUAGCCACCGACCUGCACACGCUCUAACACUCACACUCACGUUCACACCCAGCCUCACACCUCACACUCGCCCUCAUUCACAAGCCUGUACCCGCACACACUUGUCCACACCCCCCUCACACACUCACAGCCCCUCACAGUCCCACUCAGUCGCUCACCCUCACACUCACUCACACCCAUCCUUACACACUCACCCUCACCCGCACACACACUCACCCCCUCGCUCACUCUCACACUCACUCACAUUCACACUCACUCACCCCCAUACAUGCACAUCCUCACCCUCACACCCCUCACUCACUCUCACCCUCCCUCACUCACCCCCUUACACACUCACACUUACUGUCACACCUCACACCCACGCACACCCACACCCCGUCAUUCUCACACUCACCCUCCCUCUCACACCCCUCACACCCGCCCUCACCCCGUCACUCACACCCACCCUCCCUCUCACCCUCACUGUCACUUGCACACUCACCCCCACUCACCCCUUACUCACUCCNNNNNNNNNNNNNNN
rnacentral:lncRNA from 1 species